UACUCCUACGGGAGGCAGCAGUGGGGAAUAUUGGACAAUGGGGGGAACCCUGAUCCAGCCAUGCCGCGUGUGUGAAGAAGGCCUUAUGGUUGUAAAGCACUUUAAGCGAGGAGGAGGCUACUGAGACUAAUACUCUUGGAUAGUGGACGUUACUCGCAGAAUAAGCACCGGCUAACUCUGUGCCAGCAGCCGCGGUAAUACAGAGGGUGCGAGCGUUAAUCGGAUUUACUGGGCGUAAAGCGUGCGUAGGCGGCUUUUUAAGUCGGAUGUGAAAUCCCCGAGCUUAACUUGGGAAUUGCAUUCGAUACUGGGAAGCUAGAGUAUGGGAGAGGAUGGUAGAAUUCCAGGUGUAGCGGUGAAAUGCGUAGAGAUCUGGAGGAAUACCGAUGGCGAAGGCAGCCAUCUGGCCUAAUACUGACGCUGAGGUACGAAGGCAUGGGGAGCAAACAGGAUUAGAUACCCUGGUAGUCCAUGCCGUAAACGAUGUCUACUAGCCGUUGGGGCCUUUGAGGUUUUAGUGGCGCAGCUAACGCGAUAAGUAGACCGCCUGGGGAGUACGGUCGCAAGACUAAAACUCAAAUGAAUUGACGGGGGCCCCCACAAGCGGUGGAGCAUGUGGA
rnacentral:rRNA from 1 species